CGUGUUGCAGCUUGAUUUAUUAUUUCAGCGCACACUGCUAAGUGCUAACUGUAGAGGCAUUCAGGAAAACCAUGCUUAGAGGGACGCCUGAGCUGUGUGAUGGUUAAAUAAGAUGAGAAAGGAUGAGCGCUCGUUGCUGUCUGCAAUACGCUUAACUAAGGCAGGGGGAUUAAUGUGACUUGGGUCGGUUAAGGUGAACCAUUUUUAGCCGCUCUUAAUUAUUACAUUGGAGAGAACCUCACCAACAACAGUGUAAAGCACAAAAACAGCAUUAACAAGGCAAGAAGAAACACAAAAUUAGACUUAGUUCAAGAUAACAUCAUCCAGGAUGAGCAAAUCAAAGAGGGCUCAGUGCUCCGUGUUCUCAUUUAUCUGUGCGACAGACACCAGACCAAACAGGUGUUAAAUUUACGGUGUGCAGUACAUGAUGUAAAUGUAGAUGUUUUUCAUGUUGAAGAGUCACACGGCGAACCUUGUGCUUGAACUCUGCAGGAGGUGAAA